AACGAACGCUGGCGGCAGGCUUAACACAUGCAAGUCGAGCGCCCCGCAAGGGGAGCGGCAGACGGGUGAGUAACGCGUGGGAAUCUACCGUGCCCUACGGAAUAGCUCCGGGAAACUGGAAUUAAUACCGUAUACGCCCUACGGGGGAAAGAUUUAUCGGGGUAUGAUGAGCCCGCGUUGGAUUAGCUAGUUGGUGGGGUAAAGGCCUACCAAGGCGACGAUCCAUAGCUGGUCUGAGAGGAUGAUCAGCCACAUUGGGACUGAGACACGGCCCAAACUCCUACGGGAGGCAGCAGCGGGGAAUAUUGGACAAUGGGCGCAAGCCUGAUCCAGCCAUGCCGCGUGAGUGAUGAAGGUCUUAGGAUUGUAAAGCUCUUUCACCGGUGAAGAUAAUGACGGUAACCGGAGAAGAAGCCCCGGCUAACUUCGUGCCAGCAGCCGCCGUAAAAC
rnacentral:rRNA from 1 species